rnacentral:rRNA from 1 species
UACAGAGGUCUCAAGCGUUGUUCGGAUUCAUUGGGCGUAAAGGGUGCGUAGGCGGCGCGGUAAGUCGGGUGUGAAAUCUCGGGGCUUAACUCCGAAACUGCAUUCGAUACUGCCGUGCUUGAGGACUGGAGAGGAGACUGGAAUUUACGGUGUAGCGGUGAAAUGCGUAGAUAUCGUAAGGAAGACCAGUGGCGAAGGCGGGUCU